rnacentral:rRNA from 1 species
AGAGUUUGAUCAUGGCUCAGGAUGAACGCUAGCGGCAGGCCUAAUACAUGCAAGUCGAGGGGCAUCUUCCGCAGCAAUGCGGGAAGCGACCGGCGCACGGGUGCGUAACGCGUAUGUAAUCUGCCCUCAGCAGGGGGAUAGCCCGUGGAAACAUGGAUUAAUACCCCAUAAAGCAGGGGUGUCGCCUGGCACUAUUUGCUAAAGUAACAACGGCUGAGGAGGAGCAUGCGUCUGAUUAGCUAGUUGGUAGGGUAACGGCCUACCAAGGCAACGAUCAGUAGGGGAUCUGAGAGGAUGAUCCCCCACACUGGUACUGAGAUACGGACCAGACUCCUACGGGAGGCAGCAGUAGGGAAUAUUGGGCAAUGGGCGCAAGCCUGACCCAGCCAUGCCGCGUGCAGGAUGAAGGCCUUCUGGGUUGUAAACUGCUUUUCUACAGGAAGAAACGCUCUCUGCGGAGAGAAUCGACGGUACUGUAGGAAUAAGCACCGGCUAACUCCGUGCCAGCAGCCGCGGUAAUACGGAGGGUGCAAGCGUUGUCCGGAUUUACUGGGUUUAAAGGGUGCGUAGGCGGAUGAUUAAGUCAGUGGUGAAAGCCUGCGGCUUAACCGCAGAAGGGCCAUUGAUACUGGUCAUCUUGAGUGCAGUGGAGGUAGGCGGAAUUUAUGGUGUAGCGGUGAAAUGCAUAGAUACCAUAAAGAACACCGAUAGCGUAGGCAGCUUACUACGCUGUAACUGACGCUGAGGCACGAAAGCGUGGGGAUCAAACAGGAUUAGAUACCCUAGUAGUCC